AGCGAACGCUGGCGGCAGGCCUAACACAUGCAAGUCGAACGAACUCUUCGGAGUUAGUGGCGGACGGGUGAGUAACACGUGGGAACGUACCUUUUGGUUCGGAACAACUCAGGGAAACUUGAGCUAAUACCGGAUGAGCCCUUAGGGGGAAAGAUUUAUCGCCGAAAGAGCGGCCCGCGUUAGAUUAGCUAGUUGGUGAGGUAAAGGCUCACCAAGGCUACGAUCUAUAGCUGGUCUGAGAGGAUGAUCAGCCACACUGGGACUGAGACACGGCCCAGACUCCGACGGGAGGCAGCAGUGGGGAAUCUUGCGCAAUGGGCGAAAGCCUGACGCAGCCAUGCCGCGUGAAUGAUGAAGGUCUUAGGAUUGUAAAAUUCUUUUACCAGGGACGAUAAUGACGGUACCUGGAGAAAAAGCCCCGGCUAACUUCGUGCCAGCCGCCGCCGUAACAC
rnacentral:rRNA from 1 species